ACGGAAGGCAGCAGUAGGGAAUCUUCGGCAAUGGGGGCAACCCUGACCGAGCAACGCCGCGUGAGUGAAGAAGGUUUUCGGAUCGUAAAGCUCUGUUGUAAGAGAAGAACGUGUGUGAGAGUGGAAAGUUCACACAGUGACGGUAACUUACCAGAAGGGGACGGCUAACUCCGUGCCAGCAGCCGCGGUAAUACGUAGGUCCCGAGCGUUGUCCGGAUUUAUUGGGCGUAAAGCGAGCGUAGGCGGUUUAAUAAAUCAGAAGUUAAAGGCAGGGGCUGAACCAUUGUUCGCUGUUGAAACUGUUAGACUUGAGUGCAGAAGGGGAGAGUGGAAUUCGAUGUGUAGCGGUGAAAUGCUUAGAUAUAUGGAGGAACACCGGUUGCGAAAGCGGCUCUCUGGACUGUAACUGACGCUGAGGCUCGAAAGCGUGGGGAGCAAACAGGAUUAGAUACCCUGGUA
rnacentral:rRNA from 1 species